rnacentral:rRNA from 1 species
CCUACGGGAGGCAGCAGUGGGGAAUAUUGCACAAUGGGGGAAACCCUGAUGCAGCGACGCCGCGUGAGUGAAGAAGUAAUUCGUUACGUAAAGCUCUAUCAGCAGGGAAGAAACACUGACCUUACGGUCAGCAGACGGUACCUGAGUAAGAAGCCCCGGUUAACUACGUGCCAGCAGCCGCGGUAAUACGUAGGGGGCAAGCGUGAUCCGGAUGUACUGGGUGUAAAGUGAGCGUAGACGGUUCGCCAAAGCUGGAGUGAAAUGCCGCAGCUUAACUGCGGAACUGCUUUGGAAACUUGCGAACUAGAGUGCGGGAGGGGUAAGCGGAAGUCCUAGUGUAGCGGUGAAAUGCGUAGAUAUUAGGAGGAACACCGGUGGCGAAGGCGGCUUACUGGACCGUAACUGACGUUGAGGCUCGAAAGCGUGGGGAGCAAACAGGAGUAGAUACCCGAGUAGUC